rnacentral:pre_miRNA from 14 species
AUUUAGGAGGCAUGGCCUUGCUGUGAAAGACCCCUGGAGCGGGGAGACCCUCACUCAAGUCUCGGGAUGACGCAACCCCCCAAGAACUCACGAGAGACC